rnacentral:rRNA from 1 species
ACCUACGGGAGGCAGCAGUGGGGAAUAUUGCACAAUGGGGGAAACCCUGAUGCAGCGACGCCGCGUGAGUGAAGAAGUAUUUCGGUAUGUAAAGCUCUAUCAGCAGGGAAGAAAAUGACGGUACCUGACUAAGAAGCCCCGGCUAACUACGUGCCAGCAGCCGUGGUAAUACGUAGGGGGCAAGCGUUAUCCGGAUUUACUGGGUGUAAAGGGAGCGUAGACGGCAUGGCAAGUCAGAUGUGAAAGCCCGGGGCUCAACCCCGGGACUGCAUUUGAAACUGUAAGGCUGGAGUGCAGGAGAGGUA